rnacentral:rRNA from 1 species
UACGUAGGGUGCAAGCGUUAAUCGGAAUUACUGGGCGUAAAGCGUGCGCAGGCGGCUAUGCAAGACAGAUGUGAAAUCCCCGGGCUCAACCUGGGAACUGCAUUUGUGACUGCAUGGCUAGAGUACGGUAGAGGGGGAUGGAAUUCCGCGUGUAGCAGUGAAAUGCGUAGAUAUGCGGAGGAACACCAAUGGCGAAGGCAGCCCCCUGGGAUAACACUGACGCUCAUGCACGAAAGCGUGGGGAGCAAACAGG